rnacentral:rRNA from 1 species
AGAGACAGCAGCAGCCGCGGUAAUACGGAGGGUGCAAGCGUUAUCCGGAUUCACUGGGUUUAAAGGGUGCGUAGGCGGAUCUGUAAGUCAGUGGUGAAAUCUCCAGGCUUAACCUGGAAACUGCCGUUGAUACUAUAGGUCUUGAAUUUUGUGGAGGUUAGCGGAAUAUGUCAUGUAGCGGUGAAAUGCAUAGAUAUGACAUAGAACACCAAUUGCGAAGGCAGCUGGCUACACAACUAUUGACGCUGAGGCACGAAAGCGUGGGGAUCAAACAGGAUUAGAUACCCCCGUAGUCCCUGUCUCUUAUAC